GCUGUUGUGGACCAUGGUUGGUCGCCUUCCCACAAUUAAACAGCAGGCGACCUUGUUCGCGUUGUGAAGGAAACCGAGGUUCGAUUCCUCGCGGCGGCA